rnacentral:rRNA from 1 species
AGGACGAACGCUUGCGACGUGCCUAAGAAAUGCAAGUCGAACGGGGUCAUCCUUCGGGGUGGCCUAGUGGCGAACGGUCGCGUAACACGUGGGCAACCUGCCCUGAAGCGGGGGACAACACACCGAAAGGUGUGCUAAUACCGCAUGUGAAUCGUGGUGGCAUCACCGAGGAUUCAAAGCCGCAAGGCACUUCAGGAUGGGCCCGCGGCCUAUCAGCUAGUUGGUGAGGUAACGGCCCACCAAGGCUUCGACGGGUAGCUGGUCUGAGAGGACGAUCAGCCGGAUUGGGACUGAGAUACGGCCCAGACUCCUACGGGGGGCAGCAAUUAGGAAUCUUGCGCAAUGGGCGAAAGCCUGACGCAGCGACGUCGCGUGAAGGAUGAAAUCUUUCGGGAUGUAAACUUCUUUUUCGGGAAGAACAAUGACGGUACCCGAAGAAUAAGCCCGGCUAACUACGCGCCAGCAGCCGC